rnacentral:rRNA from 1 species
CGCGUAGGCGGCUAGGUCAGUCGGAUGUGAAAGCCCCGGGCUUAACCUGGGAAUUGCAUUCGAUACUGCCUGACUAGAGUAUGGGAGAGGGAAGUGGAAUUUCCGGUGUAGCGGUGAAAUGCGUAGAUAUCGGAAGGAACACCAGUGGCGAAGGCGACUUCCUGGCCCAAUACUGACGCUGAGGUGCGAAAGCGUGGGUAGCGAACA